AGUGAACACUGGUGGUAGGCCUAACACAUGCAAGUCGAACGGCAGCACAGUAAGAGCUUGCUCUUACGGGUGGCGAGUGGCGGACGGGUGAGGAAUACAUCGGAAUCUACUUUUUCGUGGGGGAUAACGUAGGGAAACUUACGCUAAUACCGCAUACGACCUACGGGUGAAAGCAGGGGAUCUUCGGACCUUGCGCGAUUGAAUGAGCCGAUGUCGGAUUAGCUAGUUGGCGGGGUAAAGGCCCACCAAGGCGACGAUCCGUAGCUGGUCUGAGAGGAUGAUCAGCCACACUGGAACUGAGACACGGUCCAGACUCCUACGGGAGGCAGCAGUGGGGAAUAUUGGACAAUGGGCGCAAGCCUGAUCCAGCCAUACCGCGUGGGUGAAGAAGGCCUUCGGGUUGUAAAGCCCUUUUGUUGGGAAAGAAAAGCAGCAGGUUAAUACCCCGCUGUUCUGACGGUACCCAAAGAAUAAGCACCAGCUAACUUCGUG
rnacentral:rRNA from 1 species